UACGUAGGUGGCGAGCGUUUGUCCGGAUUUACUGGGCGUAAAGAGCGCGCAGGCGGUCUAUCAAGUCAGAUGUGAAAUAUCCGGGCUUAACCCGGAGGGGUCAUUUGAAACUGGUAGACUAGAGUACAGCAGAGGAUAGCGGAAUUCCCGGUGUAGUGGUGAAAUGCGUAGAUAUCGGGAGGAACACCAGUGGCGAAGGCGGCUAUCUGGGCUGAAACUGACGCUGAGGCGGACGAAAGCUAGGGGAGCAAACGGG
rnacentral:rRNA from 1 species